UGUCUGUGUUCUGCAGUAAGACUGCAUAGAACGCAAUAAAAAAAAAACAUUUUAUUGUCACAUACACCAGAUAGGUGCAGUGAAAUUUGUUGUUUUACAGGGUCAGCCAUAGUAGUACAGCGCCCCUGGAGCAAAGUAGGGUGAAGUGCCUUGUUCAAGGACACAUCGACAGAUUUUUCACCUUAACGGCUCGGGUAUUCGAACCAGCAACUUUUCGUUUACUCGCCUAACAUCCUAACCGCUUGGCUACCUGCCGUUCACCAAUCACCCCAGCUGUGUAUCCCAUGUAGUGGGCAAAAUACUAAUGAAGACAUCACUGAUCUCGACAAGAGGCGCAACAUUCAGAGAAAUUCACAAUUCAGGGCAAUCAUAUCUACCUACGGGGGAAUGAUGGCCAGCCACACAGGAGGGUGAUUUUUACUAAGGAGGAGAAGGAGGCCAUGCUGACCGAGAUGCAUUCUGGCCAUUUCGGAGUGAAGCGCAUGAUUGCCUUAAUCAACCUAUGCUUCAUCUGAUGGGGAAUUGUCAAGGAGGUGGACAGUUGGGCAAGUGAAAUAACCUUUUGUUUAUCAAUCACAUUCUAUUAUAUCUGCAAUGAUUAUGAUUUCAAUGAAUGCCAUAUCAGAGAGCACACAAUGUUUCAAUUUGUCACUUUGUGCUUAAAGGUCAGUACCCUGUCGAGCCUGCCAGAAGUUUGAGAUGGCGAAGGCUGUGGAGCCGGAGUUGAAGCACGUCAAAGUUGUUUCACUAUGGAACAUGAUCGGAAUGGCAACAGCUGGUGUCUGACGGCGACCGAUCACUUCACCAAGUGGGUGGAAGCAAUACCCAUUAAGGUCGAGACUAGAGAGGCCACCUCCAAGGCGAUGGUGGACAUCUUCAACACCUGACCCCCAGGAUGUAUCCCGUCCUCCAGAACCAGUGAGUUCGGAUCAGUCUGAUUCUCUGUGCUUAGUGUCUGAGGGAGACCAGCUUGAGGACCUAGGGGUUCUACCCAACACCCAGACGUGGAUCCACAUGAUGUCCUCCAUUACCAAUCACCCUCCAACUUUUCAUUACAUCAUUUACAGCUACUGUUAUUGUCAUAUUCUCAUGAUCUGCUAAGAAGUUUUUCUUGCUCUGUCAUACCAAGCACAUAAUAUGUGAGAUACACAGAUUAACUAACAACAGCAGCAUUGUGAACACUCAGAACAAAGGGAGCAGCAUUGCCUAGACUUUCCAGUCUCCUCUUCAAGUCCCCCUUCUGAGACUGGCUGUCUGUUGAGAACAAGUGACUGGCAGAACCUCCCCAUGUGAGUGUACAACACAAUUGUACCAACGACUAUCAAAGUUGAUGUAUUAUAAUCUUAAAUAUCGCCAGGUUGGUUUUCACAGCUGUUUCACAAGGUGUUCAUUGUUGUAAGUUCUCCUUUGAUUGUAUUUAUUUUCUCUACAUUAUUAAUUGUUGUAUCCUAGGACCUACAAUAGAUACAUAUAUAUUCAACCCCAAGGGUGUACUAAUGAGCUAUGCGAGUUAUGUAUAUUUUUUUAUCAUAAUAGAGUACUACUGAAAUUACAUGAUCUCAGUGUAGAUGAGGGAAGGACAGGUUUGAAUUAAACAUGACAGCCAGACAAGCCAGUGUAUGAAUCAAACGGAUUUGCAUAUAAAUGGAGUGGAAAUUAGCUGACUUCCUGAUCUGUAAGGUAAGUAACUUUAAUGUUUCAAGUAUAUUACACGUUUUCUUUACCAUUUCCGAAACGUAGCAAUGUUUAAGACAUGGAUUUCACGUUGUAAUGUUAACAAGGUUACCCAAAAGUAGUUUGAAUUCAUGAUUUCAUUUUAUUAGCUAAACAAAACUUGUUUAAAUAGCGAAAUUGCUGCAAAAAUCAGCCUUGUUUGCACAGCGAUGAUGAAAAGAACGUAAUUUAGGCCGUAAUGAUCUCCAAAAUGCUAAUCAUUAGGUCAUCACGGUGUUGAUAUAGUAACUGAUGCUAAUAGUAUAUCGAAUCCCAUUGUGAUUAUGAGUGCACUAUUAGGGGUGCACUAUUUGGCCGGGGGACAUAAUUUGUCAUAACAGGCCCAGUACAUCGCUUCCUGCCAUCUCGGUACCGCACUCCCUGUAUAUAAUGAAAACGUAUGAAACUUCUUCUUUGUUUGGUCUCUCCCUCCCUCUCCCCUGGAAUGACAGAAGGGUCGAUAGAAUAGGGUGCACGGAAGAAACCCAGCUGCCCUCGCAUGGCCACAAUCAAAGGGAGAGGGAGCACCUUCACACGACCCUCCACAAACACUCACCCAUUACUCCCCAAUACACCCCUAAUGUACCUCGUCAAAAUCCACCUUCACUGCUCUAGCUCCAGGGACAAAUUGGAAACCCUCAAUUUCUGUCUACUUUAAACAGGCCCGAACUGGAAAAGGAUGGGCAUAGAAGGUUUUAUGUUACAUUUCAUUUCUAUUCAUUUCUAGGAUUGAGAUUAGAGCUUCACACACUUUUUUGCACAUCCUUGAGAACCAUGGAUUCUCUCUUUCAGUGUUUGGAGCACUGCUGUGGCGGUUACUAAGAAGUUAACAAGGUGUGUAGAGUUGUGCCAGGAAGGAUUGUGCUGCAGGGAUUGUUUUGUUUCUCAUAGUUCAAAUAAAGAGGCUGUCAUGGCUUUAGUACUCUAGCAUGGAGGUAAGGGCUGGCCUGUUAGUCGGGAUCACUUCUGUCUAAACAAGCUUUGAUGUAUGGUGACAGCAGCAGACAACAUUUACAUGCUGUGGAACCCAGGCUUCCUCCCCGAGUGUUUAGAUUGGCUCCUAUCUGUAGCAGAGAGGGGAGAGAGAAGAGCAGUUGUGUGUGUGUGUGUGUGUGUGUGUACAUGUUUUUACUAUACUUUAGAGUACGAAGAAGUCCUUACAAGUAAGAAGUCCUUACACGAAUAGUAAACCUACUAAAAUAAAGAGAAGUGAGGAAUUAGUGUUGGAAUUGGGAUUAGUGUUAGGUUUAGGGUUAGGUUUAUGGAAAAUAGAAUUUUGAAUGGGAAUGAAUUGUUGGUCCACAAAAAGUCCUAAUAUAGUAAGACAUUGCUGUGUGUGUGUGUGUUUUUUUUGUUUUUUGUUUUUUUUGUUUGUUUGUUUAACUAUCCUUGUGAGUACCAGAAGUCCUGGUAGUGACUGUCAUUCAUAUUGCAUUCACCCAGUUCAAUUCAACAUCAAUAGGGUUAGGCUACUUUUUUAUAUAUUUGUUUAUUUAACCAGGUAGGCCAGUUGAGAACAAGUUCUCAUUUACAACUGCAAGCUG